rnacentral:rRNA from 1 species
ACGAGCGCUGGCGGCGUGCUUAACACCUGCAAGUCGCACGGAAAGGCCCUGCUUUUGUGGGGUGCUCGAGUGGCGAACGGGUGAGUAACACGUGAGUAACCUGCCCUUGACUUUGGGAUAACUUCAGGAAACUGGGGCUAAUACCGGAUAGGAGCUCCUGCUGCAUGGUGGGGGUUGGAAAGUUUCGGCGGUUGGGGAUGGACUCGCGGCUUAUCAGCUUGUUGGUGGGGUAGUGGCUUACCAAGGCUUUGACGGGUAGCCGGCCUGAGAGGGUGACCGGCCACAUUGGGACUGAGAUACGGCCCAGACUCCUACGGGAGGCAGCAGUGGGGAAUAUUGCACAAUGGGCGGAAGCCUGAUGCAGCAACGCCGCGUGCGGGAUGACGGCCUUCGGGUUGUAAACCGCUUUCGCCUGUGACGAAGCGUGAGUGACGGUAAUGGGUAAAGAAGCACCGGCUAACUACGUG